rnacentral:rRNA from 1 species
UGUAAGCGUAUACCAAAGUUGUUGCAGUUAAAACGCUCGUAGUCGGACUUUGGCAGUUCCGGAUGUGUGCACGUCGUGUGCGCACUUCGCGGGGAUUGCUUUUGUGGUCUUGCGUAGGAUGAGGCACUUUUAUUAGUGAACGUCCUCACGCAACCACUUUUUACUGUGAGAAAAUCAGAGUGCUCAAAGCAGGCAUUUGCCGUGAAUGUAUUAGCAUGGAAUAAUAGAAUAGGACUUGGUUCUAUUUUGUUGGUUUGUUGGGACUGAGUAAUGAUUAAGAGGGACAGUUGGGGGCAUUUGUAUUUCGGUGCUAGAGGUGAAAUUCUUAGAUUACCGAAAGACAAACUGCUGCGAAAGCGUCUGCCAAGGGUGUUUUCAUUGA